GGACUCGUAGUCUAAUGGAAAAAGACACUGGUUUCCGAAGCCAGUAAAUGAGGGUUCGGAUCCCUCCGAGUCCA
rnacentral:tRNA from 1 species